rnacentral:tRNA from 1 species
GCCGCCGGCGCCCCCGAUGGGGGAGACGGCCGCGCUGCGGGCCCGGCGCAGCAGCUUCGGCCGGUUCGACGCCGGCCGGGCGGUG